AUUAUUGUUUCCAUUUUUAUCUCCCACUUGGCCGUCUGUCACUACAUAGAAGAGGAUACUCGCCGUAUAUACUGUAAGCGGGGAUAAUACCGCUGCAAGCCAUUCACACCAGAGCUGGAUUAAGCUCUGUCAACUGUAAGUAAGACCUCUCCUAUUUUAACUAUUUUGGAUCAUCUUUCUCAUCACUCACCACCUUCCUCCACAUCUUUUGGAUAUCGUAAUAAGUAGAAC